rnacentral:rRNA from 1 species
GUGACGAAGCGACGCCGCGUGUGGGAAGAAGGCCUUCGGGUUGUAAACCACUGUUGGGAGUUAGGAAAUGCGGGGGUGUUAAUAGCGCUCUCGCUUGACUAAAGCUCCAGAGGAAGCCACGGCUAACUCUGUGCCAGCAGCCGCGGUAAUACAGAGGCGGCAAGCGUUGUUCGGAAUUAUUGGGCGUAAAGAGCACGUAGGCGGCUCUGCAAGUCAGCUGUGAAAGCCUUCUGCUUAACGGAAGAACGGCAGUUGAAACUACAGGGCUUGAGUGCGGGAGGGGAGAGUGGAACUUCUGGUGGAGCGGUGAAAUGCGUAGAUAUCAGAAGGAACGCCGGCGGCGAAAGCGACUCUCUGGCCCGUAACUGACGCUGAGUGUGCGAAAGCUAGGGGAGCAAACGGGAUUAGAUACCCCGGUAGUCCUAGCCGUAAACGAU